CCUCUUCAAGCUCUUCCAGUUCUUUCUCUGAUUCCUUCAACGGGGGUCCUAUUCUCAGAUCAGUGGUUUACUGCUGGCAUUAGCCUCUGUAUUUGCUGUAUUCUGGCUGUGUCUCUCGGGAGUGAUCUACAUCCGGCUCCUGUCAGUCUGCACUUCUUUGCUUCAUCCAUCUUGUCUAAUUGGGUGGCUGUAUAUGGAUGGGCCACAUGUGGGGCAGACUCUGAAUGGGUGUUCCUUCAGUCUCUGCUUUAAUAUUUGCCUCUCUCUUCCCUGCCAAGGGUAUUCUUGUUCCCCUUUUAAAGAAGGAGUGAAGAAUUCACAUUUUGAUCAUCCGUCUUGAGUUUCAUUUCUUCUAGGCAUCUAGGGUAAUUCAAGCAUUUGGGCUAAUAACCACUUAUCAAUGCGUGCAUACCAUGUAUCUCUUACUGUGAUUGGGUUAGCUCACUCAGGAUGAUAUUUUCCAGGUCCAACCAAUUGCCUACGAAUUU
rnacentral:lncRNA from 1 species